rnacentral:piRNA from 1 species
AAAAUAUCUAGGAGUGGAAGAGA